rnacentral:lncRNA from 1 species
AAAAGGUUAUUUUGUUGAAGAAUAUCUCAUAAUUUACAACUUAAGAGGAAUCUGUUUUUUAGUUGGAAAUCGCUGCCUUUUAGUACUCCCUCCAUAAACUAAUAUAAAAGCGUUUAGAUCACUAUUUUAGUUAUCUAAACACUUUUAUAUUAGUUUACAGAGGGAGUAUUAAUUAAAUCACGACACACUCCGAGGCCACCACCAAGCAUACAAACUCCGAUGGUACCUGGAACCAAGUCUUACAACUUAAGAGGAACCUACAGUAUGGCUAACAUGGCAACAUGAGCUCCACAAUAGGACACAUUUUUAUUACCAUAAACUAGCGUUUACAUGGGAUGACAUCCAAGCCACACUUGGUCAACACGAACAACACUAACUCCAGACACAUACUUAUUU